UACAGAGGUCCCAAGCGUUGUUCGGAUUCACUGGGCGUAAAGGGUGCGUAGGCGGUCGGGUAAGUCUGAUGUGAAAUCUCACAGCUUAACUGUGAAACUGCAUUGGAUACUAUCCGGCUCGAGGAAUGGAGGGGAGACUGGAAUACUUGGUGUAGCAGUGAAAUGCGUAGAUAUCAAGUGGAACACCAGUGGCGAAGGCGAGUCCCUGGACGAUACCUGACACUGAGGCACGAAAGCCAAGGGAGCAAACAGG
rnacentral:rRNA from 1 species